AUGAUUGGCCCCAAGCGAGGGAUAGAUAUGGCAGAUCAUGCUCUACUUGAAUAUGACAUGAAGAUCAAGUCAGGUGAACAAGAAAAAGAUGACCUACAGCCGAUUGAUGGUGCAUCAUUACCAAGCCCCUUAGGCUCAUGGGAUCGGCCAUACAAAUUUCACAUUGCUGACGAUUGUGGCUCAGUUGACAUAACUUUGUCACGUCUUUUACAUGCAGUUGAGGCGACCGUAGAGGUUCUCAUAUUGGAAGUGAAAAACAGUUUCAGUUUGUCCGUCAGAUGUUUAGCCAGUGGGUUUAAUGAAGAAAUCCGGAUCUUUGAUGGAACCAUCGCUGAUUCACAAGGCCUAAAGAGGUCGGUUGUUGCUGUAAUGGACAAUUCUUUUAUAGAUUUGAAGUUCAAGGUAGGCGCAAUGUCAUCCAGUUCCGACCAACAUUGCUGUUCCUUCAAGGUGAAAAUGCAUGGGCAUGAUAUUGAAGAAAUAAAGACUGAUUUUGCAUUAAUCUUAGUGAAGGUGAUUUGGUCGACCUUACCUUGGGGCUUUUCGGCUUAA
rnacentral:rRNA from 1 species